UUCCGGAGCUCUACUACAAAAGAAAUGGAUAACCUCACAUCGAUUCUUCCAAAUCAAAGAUUGAUUGGGAUUGGGUGGUAUUGGAAAAUAUCAUAUAUUUUACCAUAACAUUGGUGGUAAUGAAAUUGGGGUAUGAGGAAAAUUUCAACUAAAAUGGAAUUCCCUGAUCUGGUUGAUCAUUCAGGUGAUGUUCCAACAAUGUUUUAUAUAUGCUUCACUUUACAAUGUUUAGACAUUGGAUAUAUGUGAUGUUAUGUUUGGUUGAUUGAUUGAAAUUUAUCCAGUUUUUGGUGCAUUUGGUAGUGGUACUCUCCAAGUGUUUGACAAAAUGUAUAGUUAGAGUAUAACAGUUAGUCUGUUGUUUCAAAUUGGAUAUAUAUGUAAUGUUAUGUUUGGUUGAUUGAUUGAAGUUUAUCGAAGUAUAAGUUUUUGCCUUUUAGGUGCUUUUGGUACUCUCCAAGUGUUUUGACAAAUAUAUAGUUAGAGUAUAACAGUUAGACUGUUGUUUGAUAUUUGGUUGUGAAAAAUCAAAAAAAGAGAUUUUUAGUGCUUUUCAUGUACUCUAGGGUUUAAACAAAUUCAGAACUGUGUUAAAUGUCUAAAUGGGGUACUAAAGGUGACUAUGACUACCAGUGGUUGGGAACUUCGAAUGUCAUGUGCACUUUAGAGUUUAGACUCAUAGGUGCUUCGAGUCUGACUCUCCUUUGUAACUGUUUUGUUGUUUCAUGUUUGCACGAGAGUUGAGAAUUGUAGACUAAUGAGCUGCAUUGUUCUUGAAACUUAUCCUGAUUAAGUUAAUUUGAUUCGACUUCAGAGGUUUCGUUGAUGGUUUUUAUUUUGUCAAACUAAAUGAAUUAUAUGUUUGUUGAAGAUGUACUCUCCUCUCCUCAGACAUACAACAUGGUAAAGUUCUUGGUUAUUUGAUAUUGAGAUGUUCUUAUGUAUAGGGACAAACCAUCACACCAAAGCAGAGCUUGAGUAGCCUCACUGACAGGGCGAAUAUAUCUACAAUUCACUGGUUGCCACCCAUACUGACGACCAUGGCAGAUCAGGAACGCACUAUAGGCACCCACAUUGAUGAGGGAAAUGAGCUGGGGUGGUGGGAGCUAACAAAACGACAACAAGUUUUGACAGCUGUUCCUAAUAUGAUCAUAUUCGGGACACUAUUUCAUCCGGGUGGUUUAUCCCUAUAGCCCAAGGCAGAGUGGGUGACCGCACAGCUACUGAAGAUGACUACGAAUGGUUGGGAUAUGAUGUCCACUUGGAACCCACAGGUGCUUCAAGUCUGACUCUAUUUUGUAACUGCUUUGUUGUUUCAUGUUUGUUUGAGAGUUAAGAAUUAGACUAUGAGCUGAAUUGUUCUUGAAACUUAGCUUUUAUAGCCAUGAUUUUGUUUUUUAUGGAUUUUACUGCAAAAGUUUACGUGAAUGAUGAUGAAUAAAGCUAAAAGAAAAAGAACAAACAAAACAUAAAGAGAACAAUGAACAAGACAUUUUGAAUUUAAUUUUACUUGAAAGGAGUUUGGUUUUUAUUUUGUCUCUGUAUUAGGGCUAGUUUGUUCAAAUUUGUUUUAUAGUCUUCCGUUUGGUGCAUAACUCAUUGUCUCAUUGUGCUAUAAUAACCCAGCUGUAUCACUAUUCUGUGAGUCUUAUUGUUCUUCAAUUAAAUGCCACUAGUGCAUCAAAAAUUAAGAUGAUAGAAUAAAUCAUCUGGGCACUUUUGCAUUACCGGCUACUUGUCCUAUAAAGUAUUGCAUGCAAUGGCGUUGUAAGGAAACCUACUGCUGACAUAAAAUAACCGCAGUCCCAACUCUGAUCCCAUAUGUCAAAAGAGCCUGUCGCACAAUUGCACUGUCAAGCUGCAUGCAACUAUACUAAUUUUUUUUUUCUUACAGUUUGCUACUUAGCUGAUUUGAGAAACAGCUUAAUUAUGUCUGUGCAGAAAAUUACCGAUUCAACCAAUAAUAAGUUAUACCCCCCCGGUGGAGUUAUAACAGUUGGAUAUUGCAUUAUGACCACCAGCUUUGAGGGUUGCACAUCUGGUCAUCCUCACGGUAAUCUUCAAUACUUCUCAGUUCUCAGAUUACUCUUGAACAUCUUGUUAUAGUGGAUCAUGUCCUAGAGACCCAGACAUGGUUUGCUGAUUAUGGCUGCUAGGGGUGAACAGUUGACCUUAUUUUGUAAAGGUGAUAUUACAUGAAGUGAUAGGUAGUGAAAUUGUGGACUUCCCUAUAGGUCGGAUCUGUAUUGUUCAUGUAUAGACCAUGUACUUGCAUACACAUUAUUAUUGAAGUGUAUAAACUCACCUUGAAGUCAUGAUAUUGGAGAGGUUUGCCUCCAUGGGUUUUAUAUAAAUAUAGGUAUAGAAAGUGUAAGUUCCCUAGAAUCGUUUUUGGUUUUAGUAUUGAAAUAGAAAUAUUCCAAAUUUAUUUUGGGAUGAGUGGUAUCGAGAAAACUAUAUGAUAAUCUACUAGUCCCUAUGUUUUAACCCAAGUAUUUCGACUAAUGGAUGCACUGCACAUUCACAAAGCAGAACAACAUCUGC
rnacentral:lncRNA from 1 species